GACGAACGCUGGCGGCGUGCUUAACACAUGCAAGUCGAACGGAAAGGCCCUGCUUGCAGGGUGCUCGAGUGGCGAACGGGUGAGUAACACGUGGGUGAUCUGCCCCUUACUUUGGGAUAAGCCUGGGAAACUGGGUCUAAUACUGGAUAGGACCAUGCUGUCGGUGGUGUGGUGGAAAGAUUAGUUUCGGUAAGGGAUGAGCUCGCGGCCUAUCAGCUUGUUGGUGGGGUAAUGGCCUACCAAGGCGUCGACGGGUAGCCGGCCUGAGAGGGUGGACGGCCGCAUUGGGACUGAGAUACGGCCCAGACUCCUACGGGAGGCAGCAGUGGGGAAUAUUGCACAAUGAGCGCAAGCCUGAUGCAGCGACGCCGCGUGGGGGAUGACGGCCUUCGGGUUGUAAACUCCUUUCAGCCAUGACGAAGCCCUUGUGGUGACGGUAGUGGUAGAAGAAGCACCGGCUAACUACGUG
rnacentral:rRNA from 1 species